UCGGCCACGCAGUUGUGCUGCGAGUCCUCGGCGCUGAGCAAGGUGUGGCCGCAGCCGUUGGGGCACGCCCGGCUCCGGAACUCGCACACCGCCAGGUGCCCGUCCAGGUGACGCCGCUCGACCCGCGCCGUGCAGCCUGGGCGAGGGGAGCAAGGCAGCACAGCCAGCUACAACUAAAGCACUUGAGCCUUUCCAGACAAAAACACUCAAGAAAGGAAGCUUCCCAUGCUCUACCAGGGGGCAGGUGCACAAGUAGCACAGACCAGAAGAUAAGGAGCUCAUGGUCAUCAGCAGAAGCUGCAACUCAAGAUAAGAACAGUUAACAGCUUGCCUGCGUGGACGUGGAGAGAGAAUCCAAAAAGCUGUUAGAAGAUCCCAGACCAAAAAUCACCACUGGACUAAAAGGGCCCUGUGAAGAGCACGUAGGGGAGGGUGCAUAAAUUACAAGCAAAAAAAUCUUCUCCAGACUUCAGAGGUAUCAAGCGACCUUUCAACAGUUGUCAUCCCACGUUGUUUGCCAGGCAGAUGCACAUCCAAAACCAGCCUUGAGCUGUGGACUUCACUGCCCUCAAACAGAGAUUUGGUGUGGAUAUGAUAACAGGGAGAACACAGCUGGGAUGUAGUUCCCAACAACAUCAUCACAUAGCGUGCUAAAUACCUGGCACUAAUCAAAGCUAUUCCACUGUGAAAGUCAGGACACUGAAAUGAAAUUAGUGACCUUCAUUUUUGCAUCUGCAGUAGCUUCUGAUUUUAAAAAAAUGCUUCUUUUCCAUGUGACAAAACAAAGUGUAACUGUUUAAAGUCUGGAGUGAACCACGACAGAACUACAGAUGUGCAUGGCUAAGACAGCAUUUUCAGAAAUGCUGGAGGAACAGAGGCUGUGCAGGGCCCAGGGAUGAGGUGACACUGAGACAUGACAUUUCUUCAGCCUUUAUUUUCACAAAUCCUGCUAUACAGAAGCAAUAUUUUAUGUGUUUCUUGCCACUCUGACACUGUAAGCCACUCCAAGCCAGCAUCAGUGCCCAGAGGGGCAGGCUCACCCCCUCACAUGUGACUGUACAAGUGGUUUCUCAGGCACUUGAUGCAUUGCUCUCAGUAACUGACCUGUUUAAAGACUGA